UGUCUUUCCCCAGUUCUCUCACAUUCCCCAAUUCUUCUAAAAUAAACCCAUAGUCCCAACAUUCUCCUUCAAACAUGGAUAUGGCUUCUUGUAUUGCUCGGUUUCAGAUGAUGUUCAGUAGUCGAGUUGAAAAGGUUGGUGGCUCUAUUGCCGGAAUUCUCAGGUAUGUGGCAACGGAGGUGUCAACUGACAUAGUCAUUCAUGUUGUGAAUGUUAAAUUUCAUCUACAUAAGCAGUUCAACUGACGAUCAUCUAUCCCUUCGCACAUAGUCGUCAGUGCAUAUUCUGUUGACAUGGAGUUAAAGCUAAUUCGGUACUCCAUCUUUGCCAUUUCUUGGAUCUUCUCUUUUCAAUACUCCUCCAUUUUAGAAUACUUAACAAACACAACAGCAGCAAAUGACGCCAUUUUCGGUACGUAAUGCCACGUUCGGGUUUAAUACUCAACAACAACAACAACAACAUCUACAAUCGACGCCGUUUUUGCUUGGUUUUCAACAGCUUUCUACUCAAAUGGCUCCUGUUGCUCCUUUGCCUUUCUCCAUGGCUGAGCGUGAUAUUCAAGUGCUGUAUUUUUGUCUUUCUUGAAUUUAAUUUGUUGUAUUUGUGUUUGCUCGAAUGAAAAAAAUAAUUGAAGCACGUUUACGUGAUGGAAGUUUGUAUCAAUAUGGGUGUCUUCCAAUCAAUCACGUAAGGCAUGUCAAGUCCUGUAAUUUAGGCGCUUAUUUAGGUAGGUGGAUAUAUAAUACAUAAUCAUUAUCAACUUGAAAGCUUCAAAUUGCUUAUAUUUUAGUAAUACUUUCAUCUAACUUAUUUUGUUUAAGAAGGUCAAAAGUUAAAAAUAGUUUGAUCCAAAUCAAAUCUAAAUAAAAAUAAAACCUAAAAACUCAAAUCUCACAACUCAGAGAAAAAGAAUUAUGAUUUUAAAAGCCUAGAAAAAGAAAAGAAAAAGAAGGAUGUUAGCCAAGUGUGUAAGCGUAUUUUAUUUAGUUUUUGUUGAAUAUUGCUAAUGGUAAUUGCUAUUUGCUAUGUUAUUAUUUAGGUACACUUUCUAUUAUAAGUAUGUUUUGACCUCUCCGGACUAGUAACUUGCCUUGAAUAGCUGAGUACU